AACUUUUAACAACGGAUCACUUGGCUCUCGCAUCGAUGAAGAACGCAUCGAAAUGCGAUAUGUAAUGUGAAUUGCAGAAUUCAGUGAAUCAUCGAAUCUUUGAACGCAUAUUGCGCUCUCUGGUAUUCCGGACAGCAUGCUUGUUUGAUUAUCAGUAAACACCUCAAAGCCCUCUACUUGUUGGAGGAAUUUGGACUUGAGCAAUCCCAACUUUUCGAAAGAGAAGGCGGGUUGCUUGAAAUGCAGGUGCAGCUAGAUUCUUUCUUCUGAGCUAUAAGCAUACUUAUUUAAUCCCGUCAAACGGAUUAUUACUUUUGCUGCAGCUAACUUAAAGGUUGAAGAGUCGCUAUGGCUGACGGAUGCAGGAUUUAACAUGUCGCGCAAGCGAUCUGUAAACUCGAUCUCAAAUCAAGCAAGACUACCCGCUGAACUUAAGCAUAUCAAUAAGCGGAGGCU
rnacentral:misc_RNA from 1 species